rnacentral:rRNA from 2 species
GUUGAAGACAUGUCACCGAAAGGUGCUAACCCGGUGAACUGAAACAUCUAAGUAACCGGAGGAAUAGAAAAUAAUUAAUGAUUCCCCAAGUAGCGGCGAGCGAACGGGGAACAGCCCAAACCAAUCUUGUUUCGGCAAGGUUGGGGUUGUAGGACAGAAAUAAAUCUAACAAAGAUCUGCAGAAUAUACCUGGAAAGGUGAGCAGUAUAGGGUGAUAGCCCCGUAUGUAGGUUGGAGUGUGACGUUCUGUAUCCUGAGUAGCGCGGGACAUGUGAAAUCCUGUGUGAAUCUACCAGAACCAUCUGGUAAGGCUAAAUAUAUUGAGAGACCGAUAGCGAACAAGUACCGUGAGGGAAAGGUGAAAAGUACCCCGAACAGGGGAGUGAAAUAGUACCUGAAACCAGCUGUCUACAAGCGGUCGAAGCCUUCGGGCGACGGCGUGCCUUUUGCAUAAUGAUCCUACGAGUUACUCCUCUCUAGCAAGGUUAAGGACUUCAGGUCCGGAGCCGAAGCGAAAGCAAGUCUUAAAUAGGCGUAUAGUUAGGGGGGGUAGACGCGAAACCUGGUGAUCUACCCAUGGUCAGGUUGAAGCUUCGGUAAUACGAAGUGGAGGACCGAACCCUCAGAUGUUGAAAAAUCUUGGGAUGAACUGUGGGUAGGGGUGAAAGGCCAAUCAAACCAGGAAAUAGCUCGUUCUCCCCGAAAUGCAUUUAGGUGCAGCGUCGGAAUCGAGUGUCAUAGAGGUAGAGCUACUGAUUGGGCUAGGGGGCUUCACCGCCUACCAAACCCUAAUAAACUCCGAAUGCUAUGACAUAUAUCCGGCAGUGAGGGCAUGGGUGCUAAGGUCCAUGUCCGAGAGGGAAACAACCCAGACUAUCUGCUAAGGUCCCCAAAUCGGGGCUAAGUUCAUCUAACGUGGUGCGGCUGCAUUGACAGCUAGGAUGUUGGCUUGGAAGCAGCCAUUCAUUUAACGAGUGCGUAACAGCUCACUAGUCGAGCGGCCGUGCGUGGAUAAUAAUCGGGGAUAAGCCCCGUACCGAAGCAGUAGAUAGAAAUAUGGUAGGGGAGCAUUCAUGCGACACUGAAGGUGUACCGUAAGGUAUGCUGGAGUCUCAUGAAAAGAAAAUGUAGGAAUGAGUAACGAUAAAGUGGGCGAGAAACCCACUCACCAUAAGACUAAGGUUUCCUGAUCAACGCUAAUCGGAUCAGGGUUAGUCGGGACCUAACGCGAACCCGAAAGGGGUAGUCGAUGGAAAACAGAUUAAUAUUUCUGUACCUGCUACACAUUAAAAGUGACGGAGAUAUGUAGUUGUUACGUGCUGACGGAAUAGCACGUUGAGCCUAGCCUUCUGGGCGAAGCGAAACAAUGAAAUAGCUUCCAAGAAAAGCGAGUGUAGCGGCCCGUACCGCAAACCGACACAGGUAGUCGAGGAGAGUAUCCUAAGGUGCUCGAGUGAAUCAUGGUUAAGGAACUAGGCAAAUUAGUCUCGUAACUUCGGGAGAAGAGACGCUCUUUUAUUAGAGCCGCAGUGAAUAGGCCCAAGCGACUGUUUAUCAAAAACACAUGGCUUUGCUAAAUCGAAAGAUGACGUAUAAGGCCUGACACCUGCCCGGUGCUGGAAGGUUAAGAGGAGAAGUUAGUUUCGACGAAGCUUUGAAUUGAAGCCCCAGUAAACGGCGGCCGUAACUAUAACGGUCCUAAGGUAGCGAAAUUCCUUGUCGGGUAAGUUCCGACCUGCACGAAUGGUGUAACGAUUUGGGCACUGUCUCAACCAUGAGCUCGGUGAAAUUGUAGUAUCGGUGAAGAUGCCGAUUACCCGCAACGGGACGAAAAGACCCCGUGAACCUUUACUAUAGCUUUGCAUUGGUGUUGAUUAUUUGAUGUGUAGGAUAGGUGGGAGACUUUGAAGCUGUGUCGCUAGGCAUGGUGGAGU